UACGGAGGAUGCGAGCGUUAUCCGGAUUUAUUGGGUUUAAAGGGUGCGUAGGCGGACUGUCAAGUCAGCGGUAAAAUUGAGAGGCUCAACCUCUUCCCGCCGUUGAAACUGGUGGUCUUGAGUGGAUGAGAAGUACGCGGAAUGCGUGGUGUAGCGGUGAAAUGCAUAGAUAUCACGCAGAACUCCGGUUGCGAAGGCAGCGUACCGGCAUCCAACUGACGCUGAGGCACGAAAGCGUGGGGAUCAAACAGG
rnacentral:rRNA from 1 species